GUACUUUUCAGUCAGAUGUGAGGAAGGGAAAACAGUGGCUGCAGCUCCAUGGCAGGACUCUUUACUGAAAAACUGCCACAAGUAUACAUGUAUGAAGCAGUCCUAUACAACACAUCAAGAAUGGGGGAAAAGAAUCUACAUACUUCCAAGCUGGGAAUCUACAUACUUCCAAACUUAUGUUUCUGUCCAUACUUCCACUGUGAGAAGAC